rnacentral:ribozyme from 14 species
ACAAAUAUAACACAAAGAAGAUUUUUUCUUGGAGUGUAUCUAUUUUGUUUUUGUUUUUUUAUGCUCGCAGAAUGGUGGAUCUUGACAAUGUAAACAAAUCUGUCCACAGAAAUUCCAAGCUGAUAUGCAGAACUUCGAGAAGCCGGCAAAAACAAGACGAAGAACAAAAAAUACUUUUGUGCUUGAAGUUUAUUUGCAACAACAGAAAUUCGUGAGGAUUUAUCAAAAAGAAACAA